rnacentral:pre_miRNA from 1 species
UGGACAAAUUAUUGUAUUCGACUGUAUUCACUGCGUAAAAUAGGAGAUUACACUAUUUUUAAAACAGAAAGUGAAACAAUUAACAUAAUGGACUCCU